GAGAAAGUUCCAGGAAGCUUUUCCAUAAGAAUUUCAGCAAUUUGGAGGGCAGGAACCAAGACAUGAGGGUCUUUCCAUGCUAAUACACCAGCUAAGAAACUGGAAAUGUUUGUGACACUCAAUAAAGACUGAAUCAUCUCUGCACUGGAAAAAUACAUCAACUUUCCAAUAACAGAAAGACAUUUGUGGCGAACAGGGCUGUUGACACUAGAACCAUAUAUCUGAAUCAACACAGGAAGUAGAUCCAUUCCAAAUUGCUGCAAAAGCUCCGGCUGAUCCUUUAAUAAUUUUUCUCGCGCUGAAACCUCAGGAAGAUUUCCAUUUAGGUCAUCUUGUUUCCCAGAACUGCUUGAAGGUGACUUCUUCACAACAGGUCCUUUCACAAACAUAUUGGAGC
rnacentral:misc_RNA from 1 species